CCCUAUGUUGUUCCCGGGCGUGACCCUGUUUCUAUUCGUCAGUGCGAGCGACUGUCUAUCGACGUUUCAGAUUGAUGGCAUGCACUUGGCUUACUGGUUGCCAAUUCCGGGCCAUGUCGGUUGUCGUAGCUGUUGAUGAAUUUAACCUUUGCUGAAUGCUGCAAUGAAUUUAUUAUGCCUGCUUAACCCCCCGUUGGUUGUUGUCUCACAGGUUGCAUUGCAUCUGGCAAGGCGUGGACUGGCGCGUGUGAUUUUCUUCCAUUUGGUUGUUCUUCUUCCAUUCUUUCCUUCCUCAUGUGACUUUUCUUCUGAUUAGGAUGCAAGUUAGCUGCACAUCUUUUCUUCCAUUUUUUAAAUCUCAUGUUCAUUCCGGCUGCGAGCGAAGGUAGCAGUUAACUUCGACCGGCGUGGCAGGUAACCAUGAUAUUCAUUGCAGUUAUGGUGACCCCCGGCAAAAAAAUGAAUUACAAAAUAUGAAAAAAGUUUGGCCAUUUAAAAAAUUCGUCCACAGUGGCAGUUAACAUCGGCCGACGUGGUAGUUAACUUCGGCGUUCAUGACAGUUAGCGUGACCUCGAAAGAAAGAAAGAAAUAUUUUUUAAUGUCUUCGCUCCCAGCAAUUAACUUGGUGUUAACUGCCGCAGCCCCAGGCAAUUACAAAAUAUGAAUAAAGUUUGGCCAUUUAAAAGAUCGUCCAUAGUGGCAGUUAACUUCGGCGUUCAUGACAGUUAGUGUGAACUCAAAAAGAAGGAAAGAAAUAUUUUUUUAGUGUCUUUGCUCCCAGCAAUUAACUUGGUGUUAACAGCCGCAGCCCCAGGCAAUUACAAAAUAUGAAAAAAAAGUUUGGCCAUUUAAAAAAUCAUCCAUAGUGGCAGUUAACAUCGGCCGGCGUGGUAGUUAACUUCGGCAUUCAUUACAGUUAGCAUGACCCCGACAAGAAAAAACGAAAUGUUUUUUAGUGUCUUC
rnacentral:lncRNA from 1 species